GACAUAGGGGGCAAGCGUUGUUCGGAAUCACUGGGCGUAAAGCGCGCGUAGGCUGUUGUGUGAGUUGGGGGUGAAAUCCCACGGCUCAACCGUGGAACAGCCCUUGAUACUGCGCGACUUGAAUCCGGGAGAGGGUGGCGGAAUUCCAGGUGUAGGAGUGAAAUCCGUAGAUAUCUGGAGGAACAUCAGUGGCGAAGGCGGCCACCUGGACCGGUAUUGACGCUGAGGCGCGAAAGCGUGGGUAUCGAACAGG
rnacentral:rRNA from 1 species